UGGGGGAUUUUGCACAAUGGGCGCAAGCCUGAUGCAGCGACGCCGCGUGAGGGAUGGAGGCCUUCGGGUUGUGAACCUCUGUCGCCGGUGAUGUAGGCUCUGCUUUGUGGGUGGGGUUGACGGUAGCCGGGGUAUGAAGUGCCGGCUAACUACGUGCCAGCAGCCGCGGUAAUACGUAGGGCGCGAGCGUUGUCCGGAAUUAUUGGGCGUAAAGAGCUCGUAGGCGGCUGGUCGCGUCUGUCGUGAAAUCCUCUGGCUUAACUGGGGGCGUGCGGUGGGUACGGGCCGGCUUGAGUGCGGUAGGGGAGGCUGGAAUUCCUGGUGUAGCGGUGGAAUGCGCAGAUAUCAGGAGGAACACCGGUGGCGAAGGCGGGUCUCUGGGCCGUGUACUGACGCUGAGGAGCGAAAGCGUGGGGAGCGAACA
rnacentral:rRNA from 1 species